GAUGAACGCUGGCGGCGUGCCUAAUACAUGCAAGUCGAGCGAACAGACGAGGAGCUUGCUCCUCUGACGUUAGCGGCGGACGGGUGAGUAACACGUGGAUAACCUACCUAUAAGACUGGGAUAACUUCGGGAAACCGGAGCUAAUACCGGAUAAUAUAUUGAACCGCAUGGUUCAAUAGUGAAAGACGGUUUUGCUGUCACUUAUAGAUGGAUCCGCGCCGCAUUAGCUAGUUGGUAAUGUAACGGCUUACCAAGGCAACGAUGCGUAGCCGACCUGAGAGGGUGAUCGGCCACACUGGAACUGAGACACGGUCCAGACUCCUACGGGAGGCCGCAGUAGGGAAUCUUCCGCAAUGGGCGAAAGCCUGACGGAGCAACGCCGCGUGAGUGAUGAAGGUCUUCGGAUCGUAAAACUCUGUUAUUAGGGAAGAACAAAUGUGUAAGUAACUAUGCACGUCUUGACGGUACCUAAUCAGAAAGCCACGGCUAACUACGUG
rnacentral:rRNA from 1 species